UUUCCUUCACACACACCUGUGCACCGUGGUCUUCGGACCUACAAACAUGAAGUCAUGAACGUCUUUUAUUAUAACAAAAUAAAACUUUUAACAACGGAUCUCUUGGCUCUCGCAUCGAUGAAGAACGCAGCGAAAUGCGAUAAGUAAUGUGAAUUGCAGAAUUCAGUGAAUCAUCGAAUCUUUGAACGCAUCUUGCGCCCUUUGGUAUUCCGAAGGGCAUGCCUGUUUGAGUGUCAUGAAAAUCUCAUCCCAUCGGGUUUCCGAUGAUGAUGGACUUGGGUGUUGCCGUCCCUGGCUCGCCUUAAAGGUGUUAGCGGUUCCGAAGUCGAAUCUGGCGUAAUAAGUUUCGCUGGCCUAGAUCGAAGGCUGCUCCUAACCCGUCUUCUGACAUUUUUUGCUCUGACCUCAAAUCAGGUAGGACUACCCGCUGAACUUAAGCAUAUCAAUAAGCGGAGGA
rnacentral:rRNA from 1 species